AGAGUUUGAUCAUGGCUCAGGCGAACGCUGGCGGUGUGCUUCACACAUGCAAGUCGAACGAGUGACUGCUUUGUAGCAAUACAAAGUAGAAGCUAGUGGCGGACGGGUGAGUAACGCGUAGGAAUCUGCCUUUGAGUGGGGGAUAGCAGACCGAAAGGUCUAUUAAUACCGCAUACGUAUAUACUUCGACAGUUGUAUAUAUAAAAAGAGCAAUCUGCUCAUAGAUGAGCCUGCGUCCGAUUAGCUAGUUGGUAGUGUAAUGGACUACCAAGGCGACGAUCGGUAGGUGGUCUGAGAGGAUGAUCACCCACAAUGGAACUGAGACACGGUCCAUACUCCUACGGGAGGCAGCAGUGGGGAAUUUUGUGCAAUGGGGGAAACCCUGACACAGCGACACCGCGUGAGCGAAGAAGCCCUUCGGGGUGUAAAGCUCUGUCGGCUGGGACGAAAAAAAUGACGGUACCAGCAAAGGAAGCAUCGGCUAACUACGUGCCAGCAGCCGCGGUAAGACGUAGGAUGCAAGCGUUGUCCGGAUUUAUUGGGCGUAAAGAGUUCGUAGGUGGUUUGUUAAGUCUGAUGUUAAAGACUGAGGCUCAACCUCGGGAGUGCAUUGGAUACUGGCAGACUAGAGUAUGGUAGAGGCAAGCGGAAUUCCCAGUGUAGCGGUGAAAUGCGUAGAUAUUGGGAUGAACACCGGUGGCGUAGGCGGCUUGCUGGGCCAUAACUGACACUGAGGAACGAAAGCCAGGGGAGCGAAUGGGAUUAGAUACCCCAGUAGUCCUGGCUGUAAACGAUGGAUACUAGGCGUAUCGGGUAUCGACCCCUGAUGUGCCGCAGCUAACGCGAUAAGUAUCCCGCCUGAGUAGUACGGCCGCAAGGUUGAAACUCAAAGGAAUUGACGGGGGCCCGCACAAGCGGUGGAACAUGUGGUUCAAUUCGAAGCAACGCGAAGAACCUUACCAGGGCUUGACAUCUGUAGAACCUUUCGGAAACGAGAGGGUGCUCGCAAGAGAGCUACAAGACAGGUGGUGCAUGGCUGUCGUCAGCUCGUGUCG
rnacentral:rRNA from 1 species